CCGGAAGGGAUCCCUUCGGGGUGAACGAAGUGGGACUGAGGGGGGCCGAGAAAAUCCCCACAGCAAUACCAUGCAUCUGACCGUACUGCAAACCGACACAGGUAGGUGAGUCGAGAAGACUAAGGCGUUCGAGAGAACUCUCGUUAAGGAACUAGGCAAAUGAGCCCCGUAACUUCGGAAUAAGGGGCGCCCCGCAAGGGGCCGCAGCGAAGCAUCCCAGGCGACUGUUUACCAAAAACACAGGUCUCUGCUAAGACGAAAGUCGAUGUAUAGGGGCUGACGCCUGCCCAAUGCCCGUAGGUUAACAGGAGAUGUUAGGAGCAAUCCGAAGCAUUGAAUCGAAGCCCGGGUGAAUGGCGGCCGUAACUCUAACGGUCCUAAGGUAGCGAAAUUCCUUGUCGGCUAAAUACCGACCCGCAUGAAAGGCGUAACGACUUGGGAACUGUCUCAACGAGAAGCUCGGUGAAAAUGUAGCGCCCGUGAAGAUGCGGGCUAUGCGCAGUAGGACGGAAAGACCCCGUGGAGCUUUACUACACCUUGUGAUUGUGAAUUGGAUGUAGAUGUAGAGCGUAGGUGGGAGCUUCGGCACCAAUGGAACACCACCCUUCUACAUCCGGUUUACUAACUGUUGCCCUGAUCGGGUAACAAGACAAUCACUGGCGGGUAGUUUGACUGGGGCGGUCGCCUCCCAAAAUGUAACGGAGGCGUCUAAAGUUACACUCAGGCUGGUUGGAAAUCAGCCGUCGAGCAUAUUGGUAUAGAGUGUGAUUGACUGCGAGACACACAGGUCAAGCAGGUACGAAAGUAGAGCAAAGUGACCCUCUGGUUGUGCGUGGGCACGCCAGGGUUCAUCGGAUAUAAGCUACCCCGGGGAUAACAGGCUGAUCUUGCCCGAGCGCUCACAGCGACGGCAUGGUUUGGCACCUCGAUGUCGGCUCGUCUCAUCCUGGGGCUGUACACGGUCCCAAGGGUUCCGGAGUUCACGGAUUAAAGAGGCACGCGAGCUGGGUUCAGAACGGCGUGAGCCAGUUCGGUCCCUAUCCACUGUGCACGUAAGAAAUUUGAAGGGAGUCGCUCUUAGUACGAGAGGACCGGAGCGAACCGACCUCUGGUGUACCAAUUGUUCCGCCAGGAGCAUACGUUGGGUAGCCACGUCGGGCAGGGAUAAGCGCUGAAAGCAUCUAAGCGCCAAGCCCACCCUAAGAUUAGAUUUCUCAUCAAUAUGAGUAAGGCCUCUGGAAGACCACCAGAUUGAUAGGUCGCAGCUGUACGCACGGUAACGUGUUUAGGUAAGCGAUACUAAUUGGCCGAGGGCUU
rnacentral:rRNA from 1 species